AGACGUAGGGGGCGAGCGUUGCUCGGAAUCACUGGGCUUAAAGGGCGCGUAGGCGGUUGUGCAAGUCUGGGGUUGAAGCCCACGGCUCAACCGUGGAAAGGCCCUAGAAACUGCACGACUAGAGUGAGCGAGGGGAGGGCGGAAUUCCCGGUGUAGCGGUGAAAUGCGUAGAUAUCGGGAGGAAGGCCGGUGGCGAAGGCGGCCCUCUGGCGCUUGACUGACGCUGAGGCGCGAAAACGUGGGGAGCAAACAGGAUUAGAUACCCUAGUAGUCC
rnacentral:rRNA from 1 species